rnacentral:lncRNA from 13 species
CACUCACACUCGUACAGAGGCGUGCACGGCCCCACCCAGAGAGGGGACACGGCACCCGCACUCACACACGUACAGAGGCGUGCACGGCCCCACCCAGAGAGGAAAACAGACCCACACUCACACACGUACAGAGUACACACGUACACACACGUACAGAGUACACACGUACACACGGACGCUCACACACAAGUACAGAGGUGUGCACGGCCCCACCCAGAGAGAGGAAAACAGACCCGUACUCACACACGUACAGGGGCGUGCAAGGCCCCACCCAGAGAGAGGAAAACAGACCCGCACUCACACACGUACAGAGUACACACGUACGCUCACACACAAGUACAGAGGUGUGCACAGCCCCACCCAGAGAGAGGAAAACAGACCCGCACUCACACACGUACAGGGGCGUGCACAGCCCCACCCAGAGAGGGGGACACGGCACCCGCACUCACACAUGUACAGAGUACACACGUACACUCACACACAAGUACAGAGGCGUGCACAGCCCCACCCAGAGAGAGGAAAACAGACCCGCACUCACACACGUACAGGGGCGUGCACAGCCCCACCCAGAGAGGGGGACACAGCACCCGCACUCACACACGUACAGAGGCGUGCACAGCCCCACCCAGAGAGAGGAAAACAGACCCGCACUCACACACGUACAGGGGCGUGCACGGCCCCACCCAGAGAGGGGGAAACAGACCGCACUCACACACGUACAGAGUACACACGUACACACGGACACUCACACAUGUACAGAGGUGUGCACGGCCCCACCCAGAGAGGGGGAAACGGCACCCAAACUCACACAUGUAUACGAGGACAGAAAGGUGUGCACAGAUAUUAAACACAUGUGCCUGUGAGCGACAUCUUCAUGGUUUUAUGUGUUUUCCCCAAAUCCUCACACUGAAUAAAACCACUUUCAAAACAAUCCAAAUAAUUUACUUAAAAGAAAAUGCCAGCUACCUCAAGUAAGAAAGCAAGCAAAGGGAUCUACUCAGACUCAAUGGGUGCUUCAGGCAAUCUGCAUGUGUCAACUCGGACAAUUACAGUAAUACAAAAAUGUUUACAUUUCAACUCAUCCACACGUUGAAGGCAUAGUGUGAAGUUCAGAUUUAACACAAGUAUUUCACAUUUACUCAUAAGAAACCACGGCCGCUGCUGCCACAGAUACGGAUUGCGCUCUUCCCAGUCCACUGACUGGAUUCGCAGUGCAGCCUGCAACCCACCUGCUGGCUCCCGGCAAGUUCCACACGUCUGGAACCUAGCGGAAUCUUGCCAGAACAAGUAACUCGCUAAGAAGGUGUGGGAAUUGGAUAAGAAGAUCAACGAAACAGCUGCCCCUACUAACUUCCACCCUCGCUGUCCAUCCUCCCUACUCCCUCCCACAUGGCCUAAGGGCCUUCUGCAGAAAUGGAACCCUCAUUAGUUACAGAAACGGACAGAACAGCUGAUGAACAGACUGUUCUCCUAUCAAGAGCACGUGCCUAAUGAAGAACAGCCCAGAAGAGCAUCUCUGCUCUGGGCCUGUCAUCUAAGGACUUCGUCAGCUUUCCAUAUAGAAAUACAGGGAAAAGAGAGAAUUAUUUUAAUGAAAAAGAGGCUCCUUCACUAAAACAAACAAAACACAGCAACAACAAAAACCCCUUUCUGGGUGAGUGAGUGCGCUGUCCCCAGUGCUGCAGACCAACCCACCGCCAGCCGUCUCCAUCCCACGGUCUCACCUCUCUGAACUCGUGCAGGACGCGGUCACUCUGAUGAGCUCCGACGGUGAUUUCUGGGAUAAGGAUGGGAAUGGCUGUGUAAAGCAGCACCUGUGGCUUAUCCUGAACCCUAAAAAAUAAGACAAAUGUGGGUCACACCAAACCAUCAAAAUACAGUAAAAGAAGCUUAAGUCUGACAUUUUUAACAUCCAUAUAAAAAAUCUAUACAUUCCAAUAAAUGCUGUUCAUUGCCAAGCA